CUCCGUAGGGGAACCUGCGGAGGGAUCAUUACAGAGUUAUCCAACUCCCAAACCCAUGUGAACUUAUCUCUUUGUUGCCUCGGCGCAAGCUACCCGGGACCUCGCGCCCCGGGGGGCCCGCCGGCGGACAAACCAAACUCUGUUAUCUUCGUUGAUUAUCUGAGUGUCUUAUUUAAUAAGUCAAAACUUUCAACAACGGAUCUCUUGGUUCUGGCAUCGAUGAAGAACGCAGCGAAAUGCGAUAAGUAAUGUGAAUUGCAGAAUUCAGUGAAUCAUCGAAUCUUUGAACGCACAUUGCGCCCAUUAGUAUUCUAGUGGGCAUGCCUGUUCGAGCGUCAUUUCAACCCCUAAGCACAGCUUAUUGUUGGGACUCUACGGCUUCGUAGUUCCCCAAAGACAUUGGCGGAGUGGCAGCAGUCCUCUGAGCGUAGUAAUUCUUUAUCUCGCUUUUGUUAGGCGCUGCCCCCCCGGCCGUAAAACCCCCAAUUUUUUCUGGUUGACCUCGGAUCAGGUAGGAAUACCCGCUGAACUUAAGCAUAUCAAA
rnacentral:rRNA from 1 species